rnacentral:rRNA from 1 species
AUUGAACGCUGGCGGCAGGCCUAACACAUGCAAGUCGAGCGCGCGGCGGACGGGUGAGUAAUGUAUGGGGACUGCCCGUUAGAGGGGGAUAACUACUGGAAACGGUAUCUAAUACAGCAUACUAUCGGAUAACCCAUAUGGGAUUAGCUAGUAGGUGAGGGAUUGGCUCACCUAGGCGACGAUCCCGAGCUGGUCUGUGAGGAUGAUCAGCCACACUGGGACUGAGACACGGCCCAGACGCCUACGGAGGCAGCAGUGGGGAAUAUUGCACAAUGGGCGCAAGCCUGAUGCAGCCAUGCCGCGUGUAUGAAGAAGGCCUUAGGGUUGUAAAGUACUUUCAGUCGGGAGGCGUUACCGACAGAAGAAGCACCGGCUAACUCCGUGCCAGCAGCCGCGGUAAUAC